AUGAAUUUCUUAAUUUGGAACUGCCGGGGUGGGGGGAACCGGCGGACAGUUUGCGAGGUUUUGGCCCUCUCAAAAGCCAAUUCCCCUAGGCUCAUUUUCUUAUGUGAAACUAGACAAGCCUCAAACAGAAUGGAGAAACUAAAGUAGAGACUAGGGUUGAAGGGUUUUGCUGGUGUCUCUAGUGAGGGCCUCAGUGGUGGUUUGGCUCUGUAUUGGGAUGAGAAUUUGCAAGUUACUAUCGUGAACUCGUGUGCACGGUAUAUUUAUGUGCAUGUAGUCGAUAAGGAAAAUGAUUUGAUUUGGAGAACAACCUUUGUGUAUGGAGAACCGGCACCGUAUGUGGACCCAUCUUACUAA
rnacentral:rRNA from 1 species